rnacentral:rRNA from 1 species
UACAGAGGUCUCAAGCGUUGUUCGGAUUCAUUGGGCGUAAAGGGCUCGUAGGCGGCCAACUAAGUCAGACGUGAAAUCCCUCGGCUUAACCGGGGAACUGCAUCUGAUACUGGAUGGCUUGAGUUCGGGAGAGGGAUGCGGAAUUCCAGGUGUAGCGGUGAAAUGCGUAGAUAUCUGGAGGAACACCGGUGGCGAAGGCGGCAUCCUGGACCGACACUGACGCUGAGGAGCGAAAGCCAGGGGAGCAAACGGG